AACGAACGCUGGCGGCAUGCCUAACACAUGCCAGUCGAACGAGACCUUCGGGUCUAGUGGCGCACGGGUGCGUAACGCGUGGGAACCUGCCCUUAGGUUCGGAAUAACUCCCCGAAAGGGGUGCUAAUACCGGAUAAUGUCUUCGGACCAAAGAUUUAUCGCCUUUGGAUGGGCCCGCGUUGGAUUCGCUAGUUGGUAGGGUAAAAGCCUACCAAGGCGACGAUCCAUAGCUGGUCGGAGAGGAUGAUCAGCCACACUGGGACUGAGACACGGCCCAGAAUCCUACGGGAGGCAGGAGUGGGGAAUAUUGGACAAGGGGCGAAAGCCUGAUCCAGCAAUGCCGCGGGAGUGAUGAAGGCCUUAGGGUUGUAAAGCUCUUUUACCCGGGAUGAUAAUGACAGUACCGGGAGAAUAAGCGCCGGCUAACUACGUG
rnacentral:rRNA from 1 species